GCAGCGAUGUCCGAGUGGUUAAGGAGUUUGACUGGAAAUCAGAUGGGCUCUGCCCGAACAGGUUGGAAUCCUGUUCGCUGCG
rfam:Toxocara canis scaffold1590, whole genome shotgun sequence.